UCUCUCUCUCUCUUUCUUUUUUUUUUUUUCAAAUCAUGUUCUUAUUUACUUUUACGACUUAUAUGAAAGCGAAAAUUUAACCAAAAGUGGAAAUACACUUUUUAUACAAAUAUCAAAGUUUUGACCAAAUUUAGUGUCUGUAGAGCCAGAAGUGAUAACAUGUCAACGCAUGCUGCAGAAGUUAAACCCAGCACUGCGGCUAACCAAUUGGAACAAGAAGAUUUGAAGAUGCAGCAAAUGAAAUGCACUCAAUGUAGAAUAAUUAGUGGCUUGGGAAUUUUUGGUGCUGGGAGCUAUGUACUCUAUCAUGCGAGGCAAGCCAAACAAAUAUACAGUAAAAUGAUAGGUUUAACAUUUGGCAUUGGAUUGUUAACUGUUGGUGUUGGAAGGCUAGUAUUUACGACUAGUAAUGCUGACAAGCCUUGAAGAGUGUAGCAACACAAUAAGAAAUAUCAUAAUACUAUUUUGAUUAUUUAUUGUAUAUGUUUUGUAAGAGGUUAAAGAGCCCUGGAAAGGCUACAGUUUUCCUUUG